UAAAAUAUCCUCCAGUAUCCAUCUGCUCAAUGAAUUUAAGGACACACCGGUACAGUAGCAUUAACAGGG